rnacentral:misc_RNA from 1 species
CACCCCCCUCCAGCUGCCGUUGUGUGGCUGCGGUGUUGGGGCUCGUCGCGAUGCGGCGGCCCUUAAAGACAGUGGCGGUCCCGGCGUGGGCUCUACGCGUAGUAACUUGCUUCUCGCGACAGGGUGACGACGGUGGCUUGCCAGAACAACCCCUAUUGGAUCCCGUCAGACGGAUCACA